UAAGACGAACCGUGCGAACGUUGUUCGGAAUCACUGGGCUUAAAGGGUGCGUAGGCGGGGUGGCAAGUCUGUGGUGAAAUCCGUCAGCUUAACUGACGAACUGCCGUGGAUACUGCGACUCUCGAGGGGUGUAGGGGCAUGUGGAACUCAGGGUGGAGCGGUGAAAUGCGUAGAUAUCCUGAGGAACGCCGGUGGCGAAAGCGACGUGCUGGACACCUUCUGACGCUGAGGCACGAAAGCCAGGGGAGCGAACGGGAUUAGAUACCCCGGUAGUCCUGGCCCUAAACGAUGGGUACUAGAUUGUGGGCUGGACAUGGGCCACAGUCGAAGCAAAAGUGUUAAGUACCCCGCCUGGGGAGUAUGGUCGCAAGGCUG
rnacentral:rRNA from 1 species